GGCGGGGUCCGGAGGGGGGGGUCGCCCCGCCGACGAUGGAGCCGCGGUUCGCUCUCUGAGGCCGUGGGACGGUGACUGCGUUGGGCGUGGACGCUCCUAGCUCGCUCCCUCGGCGGCUCCUGGGACCCCAAGAUGGCGGCGGCGCUGAGGCGGCUGCGGGCGCUGGGCCGGCGGCGGCGGCGGCCACUUUCACUCACUGAGAGGAGCGGAGCAGGGACACGGGGAGCCAUGGCGGGGGGGAGGAGAGGCGCCAUAGCCAGGCCAGAACAAUCGAGCCGCUAUUCAGCGGGCUUACCCCUGCCCCGCCCACGCUCACUGCUCGUCGCCAGCCCGUGGCCGUCCGCAGUGCCGCUGCGGUCGGCCUCGUGCAGCUCGCACCCCGCCGCUACAGCCUGACGCCCCGCGCGGACCGGGGUUCGGGGGGAGAUCCUGAUCCAUGCCAUCUGAGUGCAGAUUGGUCGGGGCUGGGACUGCCGAAGAUUGCCGAAAGGCGGCGGGGAGGAGGAGGAGGAUGUCAUCGCUAGAGUGAGCAAGCAGAUCUCGCGGGAGCAAGUGUCGCGAGAUCUCUCCAGCUUCCAGAGGCUACUUGCAUUCCUGGGCUCCUGGCUCCCUUCUUCCAUCUCAAAGCCAGCAAUGAUGAGUAACACAGCGACUCUACAGGGGGUGGGGAGGAAAAGAACUCACCUAAGUACUGAGGGAAACAGUAUCUUGACUGGAUACCUAAGAAUAAACCAACUGAACUGUACAUAAAUUCUGCGAUCCACAUCACUCCCCUCCCGUCCAGGCUGCCACGUAACAUUGAACAGAGUUUCCUAUGCUAUACGGUUUUUUUCCUGCUGCCUGGUGCUAGUUUCUCUGAAGUAGGCAGGGGAGCCCUGUGAGCCCUUUAUAAGACCAGGAACCCCAAUAUCUGGAAGACCUGUGAGCUGCUGGCCAGAACAAGAAACACCCACUACCCACCCCCAACUUGUGAGGUGAACCUUGGGUGAUUAUCGACUGAGGUUCCACGAGCUCUCCUCCUGGCAUCAGCACAGAAUACCAGCUGCCCCAGCGGUCUGGCUUUGCCGGUGACAGUAUGUAAGCCAGAAGAGCAAGCUGGACCAUUGGAGGUAUACCUCAAAACACACACACAGCCCUUUGGAAAGGUCUGGAUUAUAGGUUCAAGGCAUUUAAAGUUUUCUCUGUCUACUCGUAAGCUGACUACUAAGCUAACUAAGAGGAAAUAUCAAACGGACAGGUUGUUUCCAUAUCUUGGCUAUUAUGAAUAAUGCCACUGAACAUGGGAAUGCAGGUCUCUUCAAGAUCCCAUUUUCAUUUCCCUUGGGAAUAAACCCAGAAGUGGGAUUACUGAUAAUAUAGUUCUAUUUUUAAUUUUUUGAAGCCCCUCCAUAGUGGCAGUACCAAUUUCUGAUCCUACCAGCAGUGCACAAAUAUUCCCUUUCCUCCACACCCUUACCAGCACUUGUUAGCUCUUGUCUUUUUUAUAAUAAUCAUUCUAACGUGUAAGAUGAUAUCUCAC